rnacentral:rRNA from 1 species
GACGAACGCUGGCGGCGUGCUUAACACAUGCAAGUCGAACGGAAAGGCCCUUCGGGGUACUCGAGCGGCGAACGGGUGAGUAACACGUGAGUAACCUGCCCCAGACUUUGGGAUAACCCUCGGAAACGGGGGCUAAUACCGGAUACGACACAGCUUCGCAUGGGGUCUGUGUGGAAAGUUUUUCGGUUUGGGAUGGGCUCGCGGCCUAUCAGCUUGUUGGUGGGGUGAUGGCCUACCAAGGCGACGACGGGUAGCCGGCCUGAGAGGGCGACCGGCCACACUGGGACUGAGACACGGCCCAGACUCCUACGGGAGGCAGCAGUGGGGAAUAUUGCACAGUGGGCGGAAGCCUGAUGCAGCGACGCCGCGUGAGGGAUGACGGCCUUCGGGUUGUAAACCUCUUUCAGCAGGGACGAAGCGUAAGUGACGGUACCUGCAGAAGAAGCGCCGGCCAACUACGUG